CUCAGCAAACGCUGAGGAUAUCUCACUGGGGCCUCCAAAUGUUACGGUGCCCGCGAGUUAAAGUUUAAGACAGCCAAUUAGAAUUUUAAAAAAGCCUUUAUUAG
rnacentral:miRNA from 1 species